GCAUAUCAAUAAGCGGAGGAAAAGAAACCAACAGGGAUUGCCCCAGUAACGGCGAGUGAAGCGGCAACAGCUCAAAUUUGAAAUCUGGUCCCCCCGCGGGGCCCGAGUUGUAAUUUGAAGAGGAUGCUUCUGGCAAGGUGCCGUCCGAGUUCCCUGGAACGGGACGCCGCAGAGGGUGAGAGCCCCGUACGGUCGGACGCCGAGCCUCUGUGAAGCUCCUUCGACGAGUCGAGUAGUUUGGGAAUGCUGCUCAAAAUGGGAGGUAAACCCCUUCUAAAGCUAAAUACCGGCCAGAGACCGAUAGCGCACAAGUAGAGUGAUCGAAAGAUGAAAAGCACUUUGAAAAGAGAGUUAAAAAGCACGUGAAAUUGUUGAAAGGGAAGCGCUUGCGACCAGACUCGCGCCCGUCGGAUCAGCCGUCGCUCGUCGGCGGCGCACUCCGGCGGGCUCGGGCCAGCAUCAGUUCGCCUCGGGGGGAGAAAGGCGGCGGGAAUGUGGCUCCACGGAGUGUUAUAGCCCACCGCGUAAUACCCCCGGGCGGACUGAGGACCGCGCGUAUGCAAGGAUGCUGGCGUAAUGGUCGUCAGCGACCCGUCUUGAAACACGGACCAAGGAGUCGUCCUAAUAUGCGAGUGUACGGGUGUCAAACCCCUGCGCGUAAUGAAAGUGAACGGAGGUGAGAGCUUCGGCGCAUCAUCGACCGAUCCUGAUGUUCUCGGAUGGAUUUGAGUAAGAGCAUAUUGGGCCGGACCCGAAAGAAGGUGAACUAUGCCUGUGUAGGGUAAAGCCAGAGGAAACUAUGGUGGAGGCUCGCAGCGGUUCUGACGUGCAAAUCGAUCGUCAAACAUGGGCAUGGGGGGCGAAAGACUAAUCGAACCUUCUAGUAGCUGGUUUCCGCCGAAG
rnacentral:rRNA from 1 species